rnacentral:rRNA from 1 species
CAGCCGCCGCGGUAAUACGUAGGGUGCGAGCGUUAAUCGGAAUUACUGGGCGUAAAGCGUGCGCAGGCGGUUUUGUAAGACAGGCGUGAAAUCCCCGGGCUCAACCUGGGAAUGGCGCUUGUGACUGCACAGCUAGAGUAUGGCAGAGGGGGGUGGAAUUCCACGUGUAGCAGUGAAAUGCGUAGAGAUGUGGAGGAACACCGAUGGCGAAGGCAGCCCCCUGGGCCAAUACUGACGCUCAUGCACGAAAGCGUGGGGAGCAAACAGGAUUAGAUACCCGAGUAGUCCCUGUCUCUUAUAC